CCUACGGGUGGCAGCAGUGAGGAAUAUUGGUCAAUGGACGAGAGCCUGAACCAGCCAAGUAGCGUGAAGGAUGACUGCCCUAGGGGUUGUAAACUUCUUUUAUAUGGGAAUAAAACAGGGUACGUGUACCCUCUGGUAUGUACCAUAUGAAUAAGGAUCGGCUAACUCCGUGCCAGCAGCCGCGGUAAUACGGAGGAUCCGAGCGUUAUCCGGAUUUAGUGGGUUUAAAGGGAGCGUAGGUGGUUUGUUAAGUCAGUUGUGAAAGUUUGCGGCUCAACCGUAAAAUUGCAGUUGAUACUGGCAGUCUUGAGUACAGUAGAGGUAGGCGGAAUUCGUGGUGUAGCGGUGAAAUGCUUAGAUAUCACGAAGAACUCCGAUUGCGAAGGCAGCUCACUAGACUGCAACUGACAUUGAUGCUCGAAAGUGUGGGUAUCAAACAGGAUUAGAUACCCUUGUAGUC
rnacentral:rRNA from 1 species